CUCAGGACGAACGCUGGCGGCGUGCCUAACACAUGCAAGUCGAGCGGAGAUUUCGGGGGAGCUUGCUCCACUGGAAUUUCAGCGGCGGACGGGUGAGUAACGCGUGAGCAACCUGCCUUCAACAGGGGGAUAACGCAUCGAAAGAUGUGCUAAUACCGCAUGAGACCACAACAUCACAUGGUGAAGGGGUCAAAAGGAGCAAUCCGGUUGAAGAUGGGCUCGCGUCCGAUUAGCUGGUUGGUGAGACAACAGCCCACCAAGGCGACGAUCGGUAGCCGACCUGAGAGGGUGAUCGGCCACAUUGGAACUGAGAUACGGUCCAGACUCCUACGGGAGGCAGCAGUGGGGAAUAUUGGGCAAUGGGCGAAAAAGCCUGACCCAGCAACGCCGCGUGAGGGAAGAAGGGUUUCGGCUCGUAAACCUCUGUCCUGUGGGACGAAGGAAGUGACGGUACCACAGGAGGAAGCCCCGGCUAACUACGUGCCAGCCGCUGC
rnacentral:rRNA from 1 species